rnacentral:rRNA from 1 species
GAUGAACGCUGGCGGCGUGCUUAACACAUGCAAGUCGAACGAAGCACUUUAUUUGAUUUCCUUCGGGACUGAUUAUUUUGUGACUGAGUGGCGGACGGGUGAGUAACGCGUGGGUAACCUGCCUUGUACAGGGGGAUAACAGUUGGAAACGGCUGCUAAUACCGCAUAAGCGCACAGCAUCGCAUGAUGCAGUGUGAAAAACUCCGGUGGUAUAAGAUGGACCCGCGUUGGAUUAGCUAGUUGGUGAGGUAACGGCCCACCAAGGCGACGAUCCAUAGCCGGCCUGGGAGGGUGACCGGCCACAUUGGGACUGAGACCCGGCCCAAACCCCUACGGGGGGCAGCAGUGGGGAAUAUUGCAAAAUGGGCGAAAGCCUGAUGCCGCGCCGCCGGGGGGGCGAAGAAGUUUUUCGGUAUGUAAAGCUCUUUCAGCAGGGAAGAUAAUGACGGUACCUGACUAAGAAACCCCGGCUAAAUCCGU